GUGGGGAAUUUUGGACAAUGGGCGCAAGCCUGAUCCAGCAAUGCCGCGUGCAGGAAGAAGGCCUUCGGGUUGUAAACUGCUUUUGUACGGAACGAAACGGUUCUCUCUAAUACAGGGGGCUAAUGACGGUACCGUAAGAAUAAGCACCGGCUAACUACGUGCCAGCAGCCGCGGUAAUACGUAGGGUGCAAGCGUUAAUCGGAAUUACUGGGCGUAAAGCGUGAGCAGGCGGGUUUGUAAGACAGAGGUGAAAUACCCGGGCUCAACCUGGGAACUGCCGUUGUGACUGCAAGGCUGGAGUGCGGCAGAGGGGGAUGGAAUUCCGCGUGUAGCAGUGAAAUGCGUAGAUAUGCGGAGGAACACCGAUGGCGAAGGCAAUCCCCUGGGCCUGCACUGACGCUCAUGCACGAAAGCGUGGGGAGCAAACAGGAUUAGAUACCCCGGUAGUCC
rnacentral:rRNA from 1 species